rnacentral:rRNA from 1 species
AGAGUUUGAUCAUGGCUCAGAGCGAACGCUGGCGGCAGGCCUAACACAUGCAAGUCGAGCGGUCGUAGCAAUACGGCAGCGGCAGACGGGAGAGUAACACGUGGGAACGCGCCCUUCGGUUCGGAAUAACUCAGGGAAACUUGGGCUAAUACCGGAUACGCCCUUACGGGGAAAGAUUUAUUGCCGAAGGAACGGCCCGCGUCCGAUUAGCUUGUUGGUGAGGUAAUGGCUCACCAAGGCGACGAUCGGUGGCUGGUCUGAGAGGAUGACCAGCCUCACUGGGACUGAGACACGGCCCAGACUCCUACGGGAGGCAGCAGUGGGGAAUAUUGGACAAUGGGCGCAAGCCUGAUCCAGCCAUGCCGCGUGGGUGAUGAAGGCCCUAGGGUUGUAAAGCCCUUUCGGCGGGGAAGAUAAUGACGGUACCCGCAGAAGAAGCCCCGGCUAACUUCGUGCCAGCAGCCGCGGUA